CGUCUGUAGGGUCGUUUAAAAUCUAUCCUAUACUAAAAGUUGGAUAUAAUGAACAGAGAAGGGGUCCACGUAAGCAAAAAAUUCGUAGCCAAUAAUAGUGCCAUGUCAGCAACAAUGCCACGUUAAAAAUCAUUGUUCGAACCAGGCUUUUCGUGGCCUUUGAAAUUCAUUGCUAACCUGUCUUUCCUCUAAGCCUAACAUUGGCCCAUACUCUCUCUAAAACCUAAUACCUGUAAAACGACAAUCCUCCAUGGUCGUCCUCUCAUCCUAUCACCACUUCCAUCUGUACAGCUUCCCCUUCACCUCUUCAACGUAUUCAUUCAACAUAUUAAGCCUCAUAAAGCUCAAUAAUUAACUACAGAUAUCCUAGCGCCAUGAAUCGAUUUCUAUCCCACCACCUCAAAACUAUAUAUAUCCCUCAUCUAUUCUUCCCAUCCCUCUUCACCAGUCACGGAAAUCAAUCGAUCAGAGCUACUAAUGGCAACCAGAGGACGAAAUCAACCUGUGAUUCAACCAUGACCUUUUCUUCAGUGACGUUGUUGCUGGCUUGGCUGGAGCUUCUUCUUAUUAAUAAAGAACUUUUAGUUUCUCCACCAGGGUUCUUGGAACACAACAGGUUUGUGUUGAUGGUAACAUUACUUAAAAUUUGAAUGCACACUCUAAUUUUGUUUUUUUUUUGUUAGGUUGAUGCACAUAUUUACCGGUGGAGAUGGGACACUAAGAUUGUGAUUUCAGAUGUUGAUGGAACUAUUACAAAGUAACAGCUUCUGGAUCCUUACUAAUUUUUCUUCAUAUUAGAAUUAUAAUAUCUAGACAUAUGCUAAUGUGAUGAUCCUUUUGCUGCAGAUCUGAUGUGUUAGGUCAGUUCAUGCCUUUGGUUGGAAGGGACUGGACACAGUCUGGUGUGGCCAAGAUUUUUUCAGCUAUAAAGGUAAUUUUCAAGGUUUAAGUUAGUUUAGCUUCUCAGACUUUAAUUUGGUAAAACAUGAGAUCCAACUACUGCUUAUGUAAGAUACAGUUUGUAAUUAUGGAUCUCACAUUAUGCCUUGCUUUGUAUUUCUUUCAGGAGAAUGGAUAUCAGCUGCUGUUUCUGAGCGCUUCUGCCAUUGUCCAGGCAUAUCUAACAAGAAGUUUCUUAAAUAAUCUAAAGCAGGUAAGACUUGACAGCUUUUUUACCAUUGAAUUGGUACUCGAAUCCAUACUUAUUAAUACAAUAACAUUAGUCUAAUUAACUCAAAUGGUAAUCAUGUGAGGCUAUGUAUAGCCUUUUUUUUUAUGAGAUCUCUUUGCUUCUUAUGGAUUUUUUUCCUCCGGCUUGCAGGACCGAAAAGCUCUACCAAACGGUCCUGUAGUCAUUUCACCAGACGGGUUGUUUCUCUUUUUUUUUUUUAACUCAUGUACUUUAUAACUACCUUGCAGUGAUAGGAAGAGCACCUCACAAAUUCAAGAUCGCAUGUUUGGAGGAUAUCAAGAAGCUUUUCCCAGAGCACUAUAACCCGUUCUUCGCUGGAUUUGGAAACAGAGACACUGAUGAGCUGAGUUACAGCAAACUCGGAAUCCCCAAGGGAAAUAUAUUCAUAAUCAACCCAAAGGGAGAGGAAGCAACAGGAGAUCGAGUAGAUGUCAAGUAGUCUUACACAUCACUUCAUUACUCAUUUUAAUUGAUAGUUGUGAACUCCAUCUGACUCAAAAAAAUUGUUUAGGUUGGCUCAAAACCAAGAUGUUUCUGCUAUGGUCAAUGCAUCUGAGCUGACAGGUCAAGAUGCUAACCAUUCGUGAGAUCUUGCCUUAUUGAGAAGGAAAUGAAAUUAAAAAAAAACUAAUAAGUACGUGUUUACUUUUUAUUAAUAUAUAUGCAAAUCACAACACAUCAAUCUCUCAAAACUAGAGGAAAUAUAUAAUUAAUAAAAUAAAAUAAUUUGUUUAUAUAGUAUAGAAAUAAUCAGAGUGAAGAUAAUCAGAAUGAAAAAAAAAACAUAAAUCAAAACUAAAUUGUUGCUACGAAGACCAAUUCCACCCCACUUAUUUAUAUCCAACAAAAAUAACAUAUUACUAUUCCAACCAACUAAACCAUUAUAUUACUUUCUUCCACGUGUAUUUAAAAAUUAGAUACAGAUCCGUGCAGUGCAGUGCACAAAGUUAAUUUGAUGUUUUAAUUUCAUAAAAACAUAAAAAAAUGAAUUUUUCACAUUAGUUCUUGGAUUUUUCAGUAUAUAUCGGCAUAAUACUUAUUUUAGUAAUAACAAUCCAUUUCCUUACACAAAUUGUGAUUAGUAUUUAUAUUUCAAUAUUUAUGGUGUUUUAAAAUAGUAUAUUAUUUUUUAUAUAUAUUUAACUUUUAAAUAUUUUUCAAAAUAUUAUUAGUUAAUUGAAACAUAUAGAAUUGUAAACUCUCUCUACUUUUUAUAUUUCUUAAGACAAAUUAAAAACAACAUUUCAAACUAUUAAUGUUACACGACACAAAUCAAUAUGUAUUAUUGAUAGUCAGGUAGAUAUCAAAUAUAUUGCAAGACAAACAUCAAAUUUGUUUACUUUAGCAUCAAUGGUGUGAUUAUAAAACUAUUUUUUAUUAUCUUAAUAUAUAUAUUUUUUAAUUUUAACGCAUAUCACAAUCUUAAAUAUAUAAUUCAUAUAAUUUUUAAAAAUUAU